rnacentral:rRNA from 1 species
GAUGAACGCUGGCGGCGUGCCUAAUACAUGCAAGUCGAGCGAACGGACGAGAAGCUUGCUUCUCUGAUGUUAGCGGCGGACGGGUGAGUAACACGUGGAUAACCUACCUAUAAGACUGGGAUAACUUCGGGAAACCGGAGCUAAUACCGGAUAAUAUUUUGAACCGCAUGGUUCAAAAGUGAAAGACGGUCUUGCUGUCACUUAUAGAUGGAUCCGCGCUGCAUUAGCUAGUUGGUAAGGUAACGGCUUACCAAGGCAACGAUGCAUAGCCGACCUGAGAGGGUGAUCGGCCACACUGGAACUGAGACACGGUCCAGACUCCUACGGGAGGCAGCAGUAGGGAAUCUUCCGCAAUGGGCGAAAGCCUGACGGAGCAACGCCGCGUGAGUGAUGAAGGUCUUCGGAUCGUAAAACUCUGUUAUUAGGGAAGAACAUAUGUGUAAGUAACUGUGCACAUCUUGACGGUACCUGAUCAGAAAGCCACGGCUAACUACGUGCCAGCAGCCGCGGUAAUACGUAGGUGGCAAGCGUUAUCCGGAAUUAUUGGGCGUAAAGCGCGCGUAGGCGGUUUUUUAAGUCUGAUGUGAAAGCCCACGGCUCAACCGUGGAGGGUCAUUGGAAACUGGAAAACUUGAGUGCAGAAGAGGAAAGUGGAAUUCCAUGUGUAGCGGUGAAAUGCGCAGAGAUAUGGAGGAACACCAGUGGCGAAGGCGACUUUCUGGUCUGUAACUGACGCUGAUGUGCGAAAGCGUGGGGAUCAAACAGGAUUAGAUACCCUGGUAGUCCACGCCGUAAACGAUGAGUGCUAAGUGUUAGGGGGUUUCCGCCCCUUAGUGCUGCAGCUAACGCAUUAAGCACUCCGCCUGGGGAGUACGACCGCAAGGUUGAAACUCAAAGGAAUUGACGGGGACCCGCACAAGCGGUGGAGCAUGUGGUUUAAUUCGAAGCAACGCGAAGAACCUUACCAAAUCUUGACAUCCUUUGACAACUCUAGAGAUAGAGCCUUCCCCUUCGGGGGACAAAGUGACAGGUGGUGCAUGGUUGUCGUCAGCUCGUGUCGUGAGAUGUUGGGUUAAGUCCCGCAACGAGCGCAACCCUUAAGCUUAGUUGCCAUCAUUAAGUUGGGCACUCUAAGUUGACUGCCGGUGACAAACCGGAGGAAGGUGGGGAUGACGUCAAAUCAUCAUGCCCCUUAUGAUUUGGGCUACACACGUGCUACAAUGGACAAUACAAAGAGCAGCGAAACCGCGAGGUCAAGCAAAUCCCAUAAAGUUGUUCUCAGUUCGGAUUGUAGUCUGCAACUCGACUACAUGAAGCUGGAAUCGCUAGUAAUCGUAGAUCAGCAUGCUACGGUGAAUACGUUCCCGGGUCU